UCAAACAAGAUUCUUAAUUAGUUUGAUUACGGCCUUACGGGAAUAACUUCUUUUCCAUCCUUGUCCUAGCUCAUGUUCAAUAACCAUACUGAACAACCAUGAUUUUAAAUCCUCAACCUCUGUAACUCUAGAGUUUCCAUAACCAUCAACGAUGCAAAGAUGAACCAAUAUAUUCCUGGAACUAGAGAUCUCUUCAAACAACCAUAAUAUCUCUGGAUAAACAUCUCUUGCUACCAUAGCCAAGGCUUUUGAUAAUAGGAAUCUGCAUCUCUCGUUAGCCUUUAAAAUGAUCCUUCUAUCACGGAGUCAACAGUUUGCUUCAUUCUUGAGUCUCCGAGCUUGCCUUAGACCGUUAUUCACCAAGCAUAUCCGCUUCUCCUCGAGUCACGUGAAAGAAAACUUUGUACAUCAUGAAUAGAGACUUUUGUAUCAGAUGUUCUGAAGCUCCAUCAUUCGAAUAUGAUCUCAGACUCCGAAUUCAGUUUCCUUCACUUGUUAGACA
rnacentral:lncRNA from 1 species